UCAUGUCGAGGGAAAAAUUGGAAAAUCUGGGAGACAGAGUGCUGAGUUGCUUGUUCAAAUAAAGGGUGAGUUCCAACCUGGGUGCAAUUUCUGGACUCUUGGAAACUAGUGUUUUCAGGAAAAUGUUUAGAGAAUUCAUUAUUCACAGUGAAACUUAAUGUUCUCCACUAGCUGCUACAUUAGGAACCCAAUGACUUUAAGGGAAACUAUCACUUCCCAGGAUUUUAAAAUAAUGUUUACUUAUUACUAUAUUUAACAAAUCCGUUUUGUGUAAAAAAAUAAAAGUCACAUCUAUGUUAAAACUGAGUGCCUCCACCUUAGCUCCCUGUCAAUCAUGUGUAUAAACUUUGUCAUUUGUACUUGGCUGCAGGGGCGUACCUAGGGCAUGUGGCACCCGGGCCUUUCCUGGGUUUGGCACCCCCACCCCCCCUCCAAAAAAAACCCUACUAAAUUUUUUAAAUGUGUUAUUUUUUUACAUUUUUUAAAAUGUAUUGCACGAAUUUGUAAACCUUUUAAAACCCCUGUCCCUUAUACAAAAUCCCUGCACCCCCUCACAUACAGUUACAGGCAGACAGUCACAUGCAGACAGUCACACAUAUAGUCACAGGCAGUCAUACACACAGUCCGUUACAGGCAGACACUGUUACAGGCAGACAGUCACAUGUACAGUAACACACGGUUACAACCACAAACACACACAGUCACAGGCAGACAGUCACACGCACACAGUUACAGACAGGCAGUCACGCACACAGUAACAUGCAUACAGUCACAGGCAGCAUCACACAGUCACAGGCAGACUGUCACACACAGUCAGAAAGGUACACACAGUCACACACACACAGUUACAGGCAUGCAGUCACACACAGACACACACAGUUACAGACAGACAGUCACACACACAUACAUACCGUUACAGGUAAACAGUUACACACACACACACACACACACACAAAGUUACAGGCAGACCGUUACACACACACACACACACACACACAAUUACAGGCAGACAGUUACACACACAUAAACACGGUUACACACACACACACACAGUUACAUGCAGUUACACACACACAAUUACAGGCAGACAGUUACCAACACACACACAAUUACAGGCACACAGUUACACACACACUCACACACACACACACACACACACACACACACUCUCUCUUACUUACUUACAGACAGUGUGGGCUGGAGGAGGACUGGGUUCCAUGAAGUCCUUCCCUGGAGCCUGUUAGGUGGAGGAGCAGGGAUUUAUUCUUGCUGCACCUUCAUUUGCAGCAGUAACAGCAGCGGUUAAGGGCUGUGUUAAGCCCCACCCCUGCUUUGGGAUUGGAUCCGCCUCCAAACGUCCAUAGCUCCGCCCCCAAACUUCAGUGCUGCCACUUCAGCUUGCUUGUCUCUGCCUGUGAGCUGUGCGUCACCUCAGCUCACACGACGCCCUUUAGCGUUUAGACCUGGGUUAUGGCAGCCCCCUACCUGGUGGCACCCGGGGCAGACCGCCCCCUCUACCCCCCCCUAAGUCCGCCACUGCUUGGCUGUCAGCAUAGUGAAAUCUUGCACAGAAGAAAUGAAACAAAUGUAUAUACCUGGAGCUACCCUCUGUGAGCUGAGGACAAAAUUGCUCACCGCAAACUGACAGAUGAGCUGCAUGAAAGUCAGGGCGGCAUGGGGAACUUCAAACGAGUAUUUAAAUUAACAGCAAAGAAGUUUGAGAAGGGUUAAAUUCCUGGUCAAACCAGGGAGUCCCAAGUAACAAUUAAUACCUGGGUCUGCUUUCUAUCAGCCUUGAGAAUACCACGGCUUAGCAAUUGCGCUCAGCCGCAGUGAUUUUCUGCAUGCAGCUGAACAGCCUCCCUCCAUGCCCCAAUGCCAUUUGAAAUGCAAUGUAAAGGGCAUGCUUUUUUCAAUGUACCAGGUAUCUAUCUGCCUAUUCUACUAUAAAUAUCCAGUAGAUGGUGGCAACAUACCACUUUCUAUUUUAUUUUAGAAUUAUUUUUGUUAAUAUCAGUACUUUUAUUGGCAGAGGGAUAAAGGGACUAGGAUUAAAUUAAGAAUUAGGAAUAGGUUUAUGAUAAAUAUUAGGUUGAUGUUUCGAUUUAGGUUUAGCAUUAAUUUUAGGACUAGGGUUAGACAUAACAUGUUAGGAUUAGGGUCAGGUUUAUUAUUAGGAUUAGGGCUACAUUUUGAAUUAGUAUUUGGAAUAGGAUUAAAUUGUUACUUUGCAAAUGUAUACAUAUGGAGUAUUGUUGUACUCAGGAGAUGUUGCUGAGUGCAGUUAAGAUAAUUUUUAUAUUACAGUUGGCACACAUGAGAUUAAAAAAUAAGCAGCAGAAUAAAUAAAGAAAAAUUAAACAAACUUUGCACACAAAAAAAGGUGCAAAAAUGGCACCUUCAUAAAGCUCAAAAUAUAUCAUGUGAGAUUCAUUAUGAUGUCCACACAUGAAAAUUAUAUGCAUUUAUGACGUCAUUUAAAUUUCUGAGCUACUAAAAUGCCCCAAAAUGCACCAUCUUCAAUUUGCCAUUUAAAAAAAAACAAAAAAAACCCUGAACUGGGCAUGUUAUAAAUUCAGCACUUUGUUUUCACAAAAACUUGACAAGGGUAUGUGAAGCAGGUUAUUCUGUACACAGGAGGGACAGCAAUUUAGUUAUUUUGAUUACAGUGGCAUACAUGAUGUUUACAAAACUGAUAAACUGCAAUUUGAAGGUAAAAUAAUGUGAAAAUAACUUUGAAAGAAAUUGGUGCAAAAAUGACUUUAUAACAGGUCUCAAAACAUGCCAUCUGACAUACCUUAUCUACAUGGUGUCUACAAGAUGCAAAAGACGUAUACAGUGGGGGUAUUAUUUUAUUCAGAAGAGUAUAAUUUGGGGGAUGUAAUCCCACUAGCACAUAUCAGAUUUGCAACACGCCCAGCAAAAAUGUAAUGUGUUUGUAAAAAUGCCAAAAAAUGUUUUACCACACACUUUGACAUAAACUGGUGAAAAGAUGGCAGUAUGUUAAGACACAAUAUAUCCAUAUGAGAUACCCUGGAGUACUACUUUCUACUUUCACAAAUGGUAUGCUCUUGUUGGGUAAUUUGAACGGUUAAAAUGAGACAUAGAUCCAUCAAAUCCAUCUAUAAGUAUUCUAACUGUGAAAACUGAAAUGGUUAGGUUUAUUAUAGGUCACGGUAGCAUCACAUGAUAGUUGCAAAGGUAUGAGGGGGUGAAGUUGUAAGAUGUAGCUAAAUACAUUAUGGGAUUUUGUUAAAGAGGUAGCACGGAUCAGGUUUACAAAGAACACAUUAAAAACACCUUGUUAGAUGUGUUUAUGUUACAAAUCUAAAAAAUCAACACAAUUUUACUACAAUAUUUAGUAUUGAAAUACACUUUGGUGAAUAGCUUGUGAUGUUUACUUUAGGCAGAGCGCCUGCAGAGGAAGAUAGACCUCCCAUCCCAUCCUCCCUUCCUGUGGGCACUCCCUCCCACCUCCCUCUGCUGCUUAUUUGUUGUUAUUAUUAAUAUAUAUAUAUAUAUAUUUUUUUAACAAACUCCCCCGCUUCCACCUCAUCAUUCCCACUACCUAACACCCUCCCUCAAAGCCAGCAAUUUGAUCCAAUCAUGAGGUUCUCUAUGAAAAGCCUGCAAUUAAACUAUGUGCAGCUCCAGUGACAACAAGAGGGGGGUCAGAAAAGCAGAGCCAGGAGCUUCAUCUGGCGCUGGAUUUCAGGUACGUAAAACCUUUUAUUGCAGGUUUUACAGCGCAUUGAGAGGUGAGAUACUAGACACAAUGUCCAAUAGGACAUAUUACACCUGAUAGAUCCCCCCGCUCAAAAGGAUUAUAGUAGCCCUUUAAGUACAAAGCAAGAAAACAGAAUCUUGAUCCUUAAGGGGGAUAUCAUCCUUUCAUAUUGUUAAAGAGUACUGUAUAUCUUUCAGUCUCUUAAGGGAUUUCAGAGUAGUGGCAAGAAAAAAAGCUAACCCAGAUUGAAUCCUCACUGGUCGUGAGAUGUUUAAAUGAUAUGAAUUGAAAUCCCACAGCACAUAAAAUGUUCACAAGCUUCUAGAUGGCUCAUUAGGGGUUGGGAGCCUGAAUGAUUCUGGAAAUAUUUUUCUGUGACUUGCAUUUAUCAAUGGAUGCAAAUGUCUGACCCUCACUUGCAUAAAUGCAAAAUAUGGAACCUGCUUAGCUCUCCUUAAUUCAUCUUGGCCUGUGUGUCUAGUUAACUGUCUGUAAUUAGAACAUAUUGCCUAUAUUCCUUUCUUUUCAGACUGCUAGCCUUGGUUGAUUGCACGAGCUUGUUCCAAACAUAAUUGGAAGUUGCUUUGCAGUUGAAAAUGGCUACAUAAAUUCAAAGCAUGAUUCUAUUUUAUAUAUAUAUAUAUACACACACACUUGUUUUUUUUCCUCUUUUCAUCUUAAGCUAAUAAUUACAAGGCAUGUUAAUAAAAUAUCAGGUUUUAAUCGCAUAUUUGAUUUAGUUAGACAACUGGAACUUUUUAAGGCUCUAUUAAGAAAGCCCUCCCACCACUUUCUGCUACAUGAACGAGAGUUCCGCUUCUUGUUCCUAUUCUAUUCUCCCUGCAGUGCUGUGCUUUGAAAAUACUCCAUGUAUGAAAUCUCAUAAUAAUGUGGAUAGCUCCUGCUUAGGAAACUUAAUUACCUAAAUAAAUUGCCUUGUUGAUCCAUUUAUGGUCUUUGAGAAGGGUCCAACAUCUAAUGUAAGACCUCUACAGCAUGGAUUUUCAACCCUAGCUGUUUAGAGUGACUUUUAAUUUAAAGAGAGAUUGGCAGCCUACUUGGUCAGCUGGACUCUCUUUAAUGUGGGUAGUUUGUAGUUCUCUACAGAGAAAUAAUAGUAAUGAAUGUUGAAGAAUGUGCCUUGUUUGCUGUAGCUAUUUGAUGCCUUCAAAUAUAUAAACAUCGUAUACACCUACACCAUAUAAUGACAAACUAACACUGGGAAAAAAAUCUAAUGCUAAGUUUAAAUAAAACGCUUACGGAAUCCUUAGAUGUCAAUAAUAUUUAGCAUUUAAGUCCUGUAGGUCUUUUGCCAGUGGCAACAACUAACAUAACAAAAAUGCAAGAAAGGACAAAAUAACAUUUACCUGUUCACGUGUUUCAAAUAUUUAUUUUGUACUAAUUAUUGCAUUAAUUUAUUACAUUGUUUAUGCUAUUUUUAGCUGUCAUCAUUUAUCUUUCACUCGCUCACCUUUCAACGCUACUGCUUUCCCGCACACUAACCUUUUUGGCCUUAUCUCCCACAUUACUCAAUCACUUGUGUUUUUAUCCAUUAUCUCGUCUUCGUUGUAAACUCAAUUGAGUAGUGUCUUCAAUAACCUACUGUUUCCUUUUAACAAUUGUAAUAGUUUUGUUAUUGAAUAACUUUUACAUCCCUAAAUUCUAAAAAGCUAUGGAAAAUGUUGGAGCAUUAUAAAUGCCAGUAAUUUAAAUAAUGUACAAUCAUCAAUAUUAAGCAUGACACAGUGUCUAUAUACUGACAGUGGUCAAUGUGCAUUAGCUUAGUAAAAUUUGUAACUGGCUUAGUUUAGAAACAGACAUUAAAGCCCCUGAAAAGUUUAUACUCUAAAUUCCAAAGGGUCUGGUGUCAGGAAUUUAGGAAGACCCAACAUGCAGAAUGCAACCUAAAUAUGAAAUGAAAUAUCAGACCAUAGAGUGGCCAGACUUAGCGUAUAAUAAACAGAGAAUAGUCAGGAACAAGCCAAAGUCAGGAAAACCAGAAAUCAGGAUUAGUGAAGAACAAUAGCUGAGUCAAGAAGUACAGAAAGACCAUAUGAUAUAUACAGGGAGUGCAGAAUUAUUAGGCAAAUGAGUAUUUUGACCACAUCAUCCUCUUUAUGCAUGUUGUCUUACUCCAAGCUGUGUAGGCUCGAAAGCCUACUACCAAUUAAGCAUAUUAGGUGAUGUGCAUCUCUGUAAUGAGAAGGGGUGUGGUCUAAUGACAUCAACACCCUAUAUCAGGUGUGCAUAAUUAUUAGGCAACUUCCUUUCCUUUGGCAAAAUGGGUCAAAAGAAGGACUUGACAGGCUCAGAAAAGUCAAAAAUAGUGAGAUAUCUUGCAGAGGGAUGCAGCACUCUUAAAAUUGCAAAGCUUCUGAAGCGUGAUCAUCGAACAAUCAAGCGUUUCAUUCAAAAUAGUCAACAGGGUAGCAAGAAGCGUGUGGAAAAACCAAGGCGCAAAAUAACUGCCCAUGAACUGAGAAAAGUCAAGCGUGCAGCUGCCACGAUGCCACUUGCCACCAGUUUGGCCAUAUUUCAGAGCUGCAACAUCACUGGAGUGCCCAAAAGCACAAGGUGUGCAAUACUCAGAGACAUGGCCAAGGUAAGAAAGGCUGAAAGACGACCACCACUGAACAAGACACACAAGCUGAAACGUCAAGACUGGGCCAAGAAAUAUCUCAAGACUGAUUUUUCUAAGGUUUUAUGGACUGAUGAAAUGAGAGUGAGUCUUGAUGGGCCAGAUGGAUGGGCCCGUGGCUGGAUUGGUAAAGGGCAGAGAGCUCCAGUCCGACUCAGACGCCAGCAAGGUGGAGGUGGAGUACUGGUUUGGGCUGGUAUCAUCAAAGAUGAGCUUGUGGGGCCUUUUCGGGUUGAGGAUGGAGUCAAGCUCAACUCCCAGUCCUACUGCCAGUUCCUGGAAGACACCUUCUUCAAGCAGUGGUACAGGAAGAAGUCUGCAUCCUUCAAGAAAAACAUGAUUUUCAUGCAGGACAAUGCUCCAUCACACGCGUCCAAGUACUCCACAGCGUGGCUGGCAAGAAAGGGUAUAAAAGAAGAAAAUCUAAUGACAUGGCCUCCUUGUUCACCUGAUCUGAACCCCAUUGAGAACCUGUGGUCCAUCAUCAAAUGUGAGAUUUACAAGGAGGGAAAACAGUACACCUCUCUGAACAGUGUCUGGGAGGCUGUGGUUGCUGCUGCACGCAAUGUUGAUGGUGAACAGAUCAAAACACUGACAGAAUCCAUGGAUGGCAGGCUUUUGAGUGUCCUUGCAAAGAAAGGUGGCUAUAUUGGUCACUGAUUUGUUUUUGUUUUGUUUUUGAAUGUCAGAAAUGUAUAUUUGUGAAUGUUGAGAUGUUAUAUUGGUUUCACUGGUAAUAAUAAAUAAUUGAAAUGGGUAUAUAUUUGUUUUUUGUUAAGUUGCCUAAUAAUUAUGCACAGUAAUAGUCACCUGCACACACAGAUAUCCCCCUAACAUAGCUAUAACUAAAAACAAACUAAAAACUACUUCCAAAAAUAUUCAGCUUUGAUAUUAAUGAGUUUUUUGGGUUCAUUGAGAACAUGGUUGUUGUUCAAUAAUAAAAUUAAUCCUCAAAAAUACAACUCGCCUAAUAAUUCUGCACUCCCUGUAUAAUGCGCUAUUGGGAACCAAAACAGAACCACAACAGGGCAUAGAUCUUAGCCAUAGCUGGCUAUUUAUAAUGGGGCUUCUUAAUUAGUUAGCCACACCCCCAUAAUCUCAAAAACACUGCUUUUUACAUUGCAUGAUGUCAACGUCAUCAUGUUGGUGCACAUGUGCCGCAUCAAAAAAGGAACAUGAGGUCUGUAAACCUCCCCCUGUGUCUCAGAACACAAGGUACCCUGACACCUUGACCAGAUUAUAAAUUAAAAUCCAGUUUCAUGCAUUGGCAUUUGGACAGCAGAAUUCACAGGAUUUAUCAGUGUCCAUAUUUUGAAUAAUAGUUCCCAAUAAAUUAGAAAUUAAUUCAGAUUUCAGCCUGUCUGGAUAUAACCCAAUAGUUGUAAUCUGAAACCAAGUGAUAGAAAUAUGCAACUGCUCAUAUUCUAAUUUAUGUUCAUAAUAAUUAAUCAAAACUGGCCACCAUCUGCCUGCCAAUUUGGUUCAACUUAAUUUACACAGUUUUGUUUAAUAAACUAUUCAGGCACAUAGUAACCAUUUUUAAUACGACCUAAUAUAAGGAAAAAUCCCAAGUAGCACUUUUUAGGUAACUUUCCCCUAGGGAGAAAAAAAUAACUCCUUAGAAGAGUGCAUUAUUCUCAAUAAUUCCAGUUCUGAAGUUCAAAUUAUGUUAUUAUUUUAUCAAUAUUAAAUCAAAUUAUAAUAUAAAUUAUAUCAAUAUAUUAUUUUUCAUUUUGUGAAGUAUUUGCUCUCUGGUUGUUUGUACUGCCAAUGAAUAAAUAUUGCAGAUAUGUGUAGAUUUGCUUGAAAAAAGCAGAUUAAUUCAUUAAAGAAAUAGUCUAGCUAUUAGUGUAACCCAUAGUACAUGGAAUUGGCAUCAAUGUACACCAUUAUUUUUCUAAGAAAUAGCCCCCACUGCUAAUACUGCUUAGCACUUAUCACAUGCAGGUUUGAGUUUAUUUAAAUAAAGUCAGUUUAAACAAUGUUUUAAAUCAACAGUCAGAAUUACAUGAUUUUAAACAAGACAAUCUUGUUGGUUAUUUUUUUUUUUUUUUUUUUUUAAUAUUUGCAACCAGAUGAAUAUUUCACGUAGUUCAUGUAUUUGCUUAAUGAGUUACUCCAACCACCAUGACUUCUGAAAUGCUGCAAUUACAGAGAUAUCUCCACUUAUGUGCCAAGGGCUAGUUACACCUCUAGCAAACAUAACUUUGGCAGUACCUAGUAACCCUUUUCUGAACUCUCUCUAAAAUAUCAAUAUCCUUCUGGAGAUAUGGUCUCCAGUACUGUGUACAAUACUCCAAGUGAGGUCUCACCAGUGUUCUGUACAAUGGCAUGAGCACUUCCCUCUUUCUACUGCUAAUACCUCUCCCUAUACAACCAAACAUUCUGCUAACAUUUCCUGCUGCUUUAUUACAUUGUCUGCCUACCUUUAAGUCAUCAGAAAUAAUCUCCCCUAAAUCCCUUUCCUCAGAUGUUGAGGUUAGGACUCUAUCAAAUAUUCUGUAUUCUGCCCUUGGGUUUUUACGUCCAAGAUGCAUUAUCCUGCACUUAUCCACAUUAAAUGUCAGUUGCCACAACUAUGACCAUUUUCCUAGUUUACCUAAAUAAUUUGCCAUUUGGCUUAUCCCUCCUGGAACAUCAACCCUGUUACAUAUCUUAGUAUCAUCAGCAAAAUUACAUACCUUACCAUCAAGACCUUCUGCAAUAUCACUAAUAAAAACAUUAAAGAGAAUGGGUCCAAGUACAGAUCCCUGAGGUACCCCACUGGUGACAAGUCCAAGCUUCGAAUAUAUUCCAUUAACUACAACCCUCUGUUGCCUGUCACUCAGCCACUGCCUUACCCAUUCAACAAUAUUGGAAUCUGUAGAUCAGAAAGUGCUAAUGGGAUACAGCAUGUGACUGAGGAAAUGUUCUAGCAUGGAGCCCCCCAUUCCCCUAUCUCAUCUUUUCUCUGCCCUACUUCAUCCCAUAUUGUUAUUCAUAACCUCUAGUAAUUAUUUUUCUAUCGGAAAACUUCUCUUCACAUUUCUGUGAUUAUAAAAAGUAAUUUUUCUCAGUUUUACCUUUAUAAACAAAGACAAUUUGAAUAAUAUUUUUUUAUUUUUGUUUGCUCAAUGUUGGUUUAAGCUGGAUCUGUUUGUUGAUUGCAUCCCCUUCUUUACGUGUGUUCUAAUGUGUGCUAGUGUACAAUUAUUAGUCUUUAUAGAUUUAUAUUUUCUCUGCCAAAAAACAUUUUACUAUUUCUAUUAACAAAUAUAUCACAUGACGACUGUCUUCUGUAUGUUCGUUCAACAUUCCAUUACUUACCACAAUCACUUAGAUUCACACUGUGUCCGUGAUCAGCACACCAAAGAUUCACAGUAUUGCAACUGAUAAUUUUUACAGCAUCUCCUUUGCAUUUCAUUUUCAGUCAGGCAAAAAUUUCACACCUUAAACUAAUCCCUUUAGCAAAACAAAUCUUUUUUCUCCACUGACAUUUUCAGCUUUUGACAGACCUGUUCUUCUCAAAGUUUUCUCUCUUUUUUUCUUCAUCUUUUAUCACCAGAAUGGCUGGAGGGAUUGUGGUGAAUCUGUUCCAGGAAACAUCCAAAUAAUAGGUCUGUACUCUGUGAUAUCAAUGAUGCUCCAUACAAUGUGCGGUGUAAUUAUAGGACAGAUGGUUUCUAUUCAUUAAAUUGUCAGAAUGCUUUUGUUAUGAGAGGUAACGGAUAAACUUUAUUAAUGUGUAACCUCUUCUUAUAUUCACUGUAACCAAAGAAUAUUAAUCAGCUGCCCCCUGUAACCAUAAACAAUGUUUAAUUACCGUAUAUACUCGAGUAUAAGUCAAGUUUUUCAGCACAUUUUUUUGUGCUGAAAAACCCCCACUCACUUAUACUCUAGUUAAUGUCUGUAUUAUGACAAUUUACAUUGCCAUAAUACAGACCAGGACCGCCGGGCUCCUGUUGGGGGAAGGCAGAGAGCUGUUACUUACCUUUCCUGCAGCUUGUGUCAGCUCCCUUCUCUCUCCUCCGUUGCGGUCAGCUACCCUGUCAGCUCCACCGUAAAUCUCGCGAGAGGCGUGGUGAACGCUCUGCACGGCCGCAAGACUUACAGUGGAGGAGAAAGGAGCUGACCGGAACGGAGGAGAGAGAAGGGAGCUGUGACAGGAGCUGCAGGAAAGGUAAGUAACAGCUCUCUGCCAGCCCCCCUCCUGCACAGCCCAUCCACUGGACCACCAGGGAAUGAGAGCCCCCCUCCCUGGCCAGCUAACAAACAGGGAGGGGGGCGGAAAAUAAAUAUAAAUAAAAAAUUUAAUAAUAAUAUAAUAAAAAAAUAUUAAUAAUAAUAUAUAAAAAAAUAAUAAUAAUAAUAAUUAAAAAAAUAAUAAACAUGCUCACCUCCCCACCAAGGCUCUGCAUCACAUACACACACUGCACUCACACACACACACACACUGCACUCAUACACACACACACACACUGUAUUCAUGCACACACUGCAUUCAUACAAAAACACUGCAUUAUAUACACACACUGUAAAUAAAUAUUCAAUUAAUAUAAUUUUUGGGGGAUCUAAUUUUAUUUAGAAAUUUAACAGUAGCUGCUGCAUUUCCCACCCUAGUCUUAUACUCAAGUUAAUAAGUUUUCCCAGUUUUUUUGGGUGAAAUUAGGGGUCUCGACUUAUAUUCGGGUUGACUUAUACUCGAGUAUAUACGGUAUUUAUUUCUUUAAACUAAAAGAAAUAAAUGAAACAUUUUGGAAAAAAAGUAUAUAUUUUUAAAAAUAUCACUGGUGUAUUAGUUUUCAAAGCCGUGGGAUAUUUAUAUAACAGGCAAUCUAAAAUGUUCCACAUGUGGUUUGAUAGACAAACAUAAACUCCCUAGGCAUUUUUUGGUGAUCCAGCUAGGCCUAUGAAAUUGAAUGUCUGCUAUCUGCUUCCCUAACACUAUAGAGCCUACUGGUCCCCCUCCCUUGUCUUCCCCCUAAGAAGCUAAAGGGGUAAAAAAAAAACUUUAGUCACCCGAUUCCCGUGCCAAUGUCCCUCGACUGGGUAGUGCUUUGCCUCCUCCGACAUCAUCAUAACACUUAGACUCAUUGCUUCAGUACUUUCCUAUGGGGCUUUCACUAACGCCAGAUGUAGUAAUGUAUAGCGUUUAGUUCCAGCAUCAUUUAGGUGACUAAAUUGACAGCCACUAAGGCAGUCUUAGUUCUGCAAUGUAAUUAUUCCUCUAUUUUUUUCCUAUAUCUAUUUACUUUUUUCUUAUUCGCCACAUUUUUAUGUCUUAUCGAAGGCACAGUAAUCACUCAACUGCUUUUAUACCUAUUAGGUUUUACCACAUUUUUAGCCAUUAGUCACUAGCCAGCUCCUGGAGUUCACACACUUUAUUCUUAAGGUGAUUUCUUAUUUGUCUUUUUUAUAGGUUUUUAGUGAAUCCCUGUUCCUCCCAGUUUGAGCAGCUUAGUGCUAGUCUGUCUCCCUCUUUCCUGUGUGUUACAGUAGGUACACCAGAAUAGUUCUUUCAUCCAAUUAUUACUAGUUUCACCUCCCAUUAUUCUUCAGGGUCAGAGUAUAUAGUAAUACGGGUUGAAAAAUAAAUAAAAUCCAUGAAAUUCUAAAUAAAACAAAAACUGAUUUUCUGAGCAAUACUGCAAAAACAAACACUAUUUUUCCAGUGUCCUUUGAAUAUAGUCACACAAUGUUACAUAGGAAACAUACCUGCAACUCUUUACUUUGAAAGGCAGACACAUAAGGGUUUUCGUGACCGGCACUGCCCCCAUUUGUUUCCUAUUGUUUUAGAUUUGCUCUGUCAAGGUGUUUAUCCUUUUCAAAGAACAGACAGUCAGGGUGGUUAUGUGCCCCGGCCACUUCCUACUGUGCCUACAUGCAUGUGUUCUAGAUAAAACUGCUUUACAUCCGGAUCAUGUCAUGUUUGUAUUUAACUUGCACUUUUUUUAUCCCAAUACCUGCAAGGGAUAAUUUCCUUUUUUUUUUCUUUAUAGUUAUUGCACUGCAACUGCUGUUAUAAAAAAAAUGACAGCCUGAAGGAUUGUACGUUGAAUACUUUAUAUUGUUUGUUAUUUUUACAAAAAUUUUGCCUCAUACAAGUCUUCCAGACAAAAAACAUUCAUGUAAUGCUAACAGAAAAGAUAUGAAUGAAGUGAUGUCAAGUUGUUCUGACCUUGAAUGUUCCUGUCUUUGCUCAGUUGUUCUAUUUAAGGUUUUAAAUUACUGUACUAUAUUAAAAAUAAAUGUCAGCAUGUUUCUUAUUUAGCUUGUAUAAAAUAAAAUCCAUUAAUUCUGAAAGGGAAAGACACCACUGAAUGCAACGCUUGGGACCCCUUUAAGCUCAUCACUAUGUGAAAGCAAAGAUUCUAUCUCCUGGGAGUUGCCGAGUAUGAAGUGAGAUUUAGAUGUAAUUAAGUCUGCUUACAGUGAUUUUGAUAGAAGCAUACAUGUAGACAGUAUAUAUUGAGCGCUAGUAAGACUCAUCCAAUUUUAUAAUUUUUAAAUGUAAUUGGAGGCUCGCCUUUUAAUGAACUCAUAUUUGGUUUGCCCUUGGCAAAUCUGGGAACUCGCUGAGUUUUCGCUGGAGGCUCUGGGUUUACCAGCUUAUUAUUGGACCUCUGGGACAUUCUGUAAAGUUUCUAGAUGUGUUUUUAACGUAGCAUUGGGACUGGCACAAUGCCUGGGGAGCAGAAAAGCUUCUAAGCUGCAGACCGAUAGGAACUUAACUGGAAUUAUCCUUGGCUUUAGCUGCACUAUAUAGGCAAACCAAUUAGAAUUUGGACAAACAUAAAUUAGUAACACACUGGUCGUGCAAGAGAAAAAAUUUGUUAGGAAGGGAACUAAAGGGGCCUAAUAGUGCUUGUACUUGCCAUGGGAAAAAGUCUCCAAAAUAUACAAAACAUAAAUCACACAUGAAAAAUGUAAUCAAAAGAAAGGAAUAGUAGGCACAUGUGAAAGUGUACUCAAAUGUGAGUCUAACAAAGCACCAAUUGCCAAUUGGUCACUGCUCACAUCCCAAUUGAGGUUGUCAGUUGCCAACCAUUAAACAUUGUGGGGAAAUAGUAGUUUUAUGGACACCAAUCUCAUUUGGUUCAUAAGAUCUGCUGAUAAUCUAUAAUGUCUACAUGGUCUUAUAAGGUUCCAGGUACAUGACAUGUUCACCAAAUGGUGCAAAUAGUGUUUGUUCUUGAUGUUGCAAUGCUUAUUCAGAGAUGAUAGGGCCAGGUUUUUUUUUUUUUCAGUUUAUCAACUGCUGCCUAGCUAAUACUUCCUGCACUACAGAGACAAACGGAAACCAGGAGAAGUUCCAGGAGACCCAAAUUCAGGCUUAAAACAUUGUUAAACAGUUUAACCCAGGAAGGUAAAAAGGUACAAACAUGUGUUUACACCAGUUCCAGAGGGACAUUCCAAAAGCAAAGGAUGACCACACUCACUAUAAUUGUUAAUUGUUUCCAUACAUUUGUUUAAUACAUUUUAUAAUACACUAUUACUACACGAGUAUCUAAAGUCACCUUGUAACAUUAGGGGGAAAUCUGUCUCUUUGUGCCUAUCUAUCUGCUUGUCGUACAUUCAUUGUAGACAUGCGUUUUCUCUUUAUAGGAGACAGGCAAAUUGCCUCUUGCUAUAAAAAACAAAACAAAAGAAAACUACCCUUUAGGCAGGUGCAUUCAUGAGAGAUGUGUAAGAGAUCUUUGUUCUUUUAUUGAUAUAUCCCUGCUACGUACAGGACCCUUAACAUUCAUGCAUCAAUAUAACUAAUGUUAUAGUAUGUGUAUAAUGUCACUGCGUCUAAGGAAAGACGUAUCAAAGUAAACAUUUUUGUUAGUAGUGCACAUUCUUGUGGCAUUUACCUUUUCUUGUUGCAGGAAGCUAAAACUGUAAUUUCCCAGGUGUUAAGAACCUGUUAAAUUUCCUAUGUAGUAGCAUUUUUGAGAUCAGAACAUAUUUGAUGGCUUGACACAAUAGACGCAACCUUUUUUAUGAGUAUAUAUGUGAAAUGGACUAUUGUUCUUAACGUACAUAUAAAUUCCUGGAUGUUUCUUUGUCUUAUUUAGUUUUUUUUUUACUUUUUGAUUUUUUUUCUCUAUUCUCAGCAUGUGCAUCUCGUAACAAAACACAGAUUGCUUUUAACACUGAGAUGAACCCUGCAGAGUUCUUUGGUCUGCACUAAUCUUUCAUUUUAUUUUUGUUUUGCAGCAAUCAACCAAUUUCAAGACCCCAAAUAUUCCUGAGCAGGACCGGAAUGGCCUUUCUAGAGAGAGAGAGCAUUUGCCACGAGAGUUCCACCCUCUGAACAGUAUCAUUUCCCGUUGUAUUAAGUGUCCCUAAAGAUUGCCAA
rnacentral:lncRNA from 1 species